rnacentral:lncRNA from 1 species
GCAAACUCUGGCUUUUACUGUUUAAAUGUUAAGCAUUUAAAACAUGAGAAUGAGAUGUCCAAUAAGAUAGUGCAUCAUAAUGCACAAGCAAGCUAAAACAGGAAGACGAAAGAAACCAGGGCAGGGUUAAAGAGUUAACAGCACCACACAAUGACAGAAUGAAGAAAUGGGGCAACAUGGUACGUGCAAUCCCCAUGACCGCAACCAUAAGAAAGCAUGCUCUAACAUUAAUAUUAGGCCAAAAAGAUAUUACCUUGAUUCACAGCAGGAUACAAUCAUGUAGAACAAAGCAAAAUACCCAAGGCAAACAUAACAUUUCUGCUGCCGUGUGUUUGUAAUCAAGGCAGUUCACUACUAACUGGAAAUGUGACAAAAUAACUAGUCGCCAAACAAGUCAUCAUCACUAUCAUCAGCCGGAUUUGCGUCCACAUCCCUGCUAGACUUCUUUUCAUCAACAACUUUGACUUGCUCUGGCUGGCCAUCUGAUUUAUACGCCCAUGAUGAGCCCGGUUUUGCUGGAACAGAGUCCCCGUAAAGGUCAUCAUACAUACCACCUCUGGAUGUGCUUUUAACUUUGUUAAGCAUCUGUUGUAGCUUAUCUGUUACCCCACUGUUGGAGGCACUGUCCUUUGAUGAAGUUUGCUCCUUUCCUUUUGGUAUGACAGUGACCUGUACAAGAGACUCGUACUUCCCAACAAGACUGCCUUCCUUCACACCUACUGGGCCUGGUUCAGUUUCAACAUCUGCACCAUCAGAAAUCCCAACCACCUGAAUAAGCUCCCCACCAACCUGAUCUCUAAAUGACACUCUCCGCUUUCUGAUUCUCUUUGAUGGUCUACCGACUGCCUGGUUGUCAUCAUUAACAGCAGAAGCAUCCCCAGAAGAACCUUUUCUCUUCAAUGGCACGUCUGAUUUGCUAACACCAUAGCGAUUCAGUAUUGUAUUGUAUGCAACAACGGCAUCUUCAUCGUCAGAGUCUGGAGGGGACGGCAAACUCACAUCUGACGGGAGACUUUGAGUGGGGAAAAAAGCAGCCGUGUUCUUUCGUAGAACAUAUGCUCUGGUUGAUGCAGCAAAGCGAAGUGACUGUCCAACUUCAAGUUCAACAGGGUUGUCCUUGGUUAAUCUCUCGUUUGCAACAAAUGUACCGUGGAC